rnacentral:tRNA from 1 species
GCGGUUGUAGCUCAGUGGAUAGAGCGCUUCCCUCCGGAGGAAGAAGUCGGGGGUUCGAGUCCCUUCAGCCGCGCCA